AUCUAUGAAUUUCAGAUAAUUUCGACGUAUUCAUUGCGGUGAACAACGCGGUUGGGACAGCACACUCACGACGUGGGAAGGUCACAGAAAUGUUGAAAGACAUCAGAUUGGGCAUACGCUUCACCCGUGCAACUUCGUCAUGUGCUCCACGGCAGCACAAGCCUUUACGGCUGUGCCACUAUGUGUGGAAACGUCGUAGCGGAUGAAUGUGAAUUAUGGAUCUCCAAGUGGCGUCGCCCGCGUCAUUUUCAAGAUUCUACCCGUUU